rnacentral:rRNA from 1 species
AUUGAACGCUAGCGGCAGGCCUAACACAUGCAAGUCGCACGAGUGGCGGACGGGUGAGUAAUAUCUGGGAAACUGCCCGAUGGAGGGGGAUAACUACUGGAAAGGGUGGCUAAUACCGCAUACCAUCAGAUGUUCCGAUAUUGGAUUAGCUUGUUGUUGGGGUAACGGCUCACCAAGGCAACGAUCCCUAGCUGUUUUGAGAGGAGGACCAGCCACACUGGAACUGAGACACGGGCAAGACUCCUACGGUAGGCAGCAGUGGGGAAUAUUGGACAAUGGGCGCAAGCCUGAUGAAGCCAUGCCGCGUGUAUGAUGAAGGCCUUCGGGUUGUAAAGUACUUUUUGCUGGGAGGCGUUACCCGCAGAAUAAGCACCGGCUAACUCCGUGCCAGCAGCCGCGGUAAUAC